rnacentral:rRNA from 1 species
AUUGAACGCUGGCGGCAGGCCUAACACAUGCAAGUCGAGCGAGUGGCGGACGGGUGAGUAAUGUAUGGGGAUCUGCCCGAUAGAGGGGGAUAACUACUGGAAACGGUGGCUAAUCCCGCAUACUAUCGGAUGACCCCAAAUGGGAUUGGCUUGUAGGUGGGGUAAAGGCUCACCUAGGCGACGAUCACUAGCUGGUCUGAGAGGAUGAUCAGCCACACUGGGACUGAGACACGGCCCAGACUCCUACGGGAGGCAGCAGUGGGGAAUAUUGCACAAUGGGCUCAAGCCUGAUGCAGCCAUGCCGCGUGUAUGAAGAAGGCCUUAGGGUUGUAAAUUACUUUCAGCGGGGAGGCGUUACCCGCAGAAGAAGCACCGGCUAACUCCGUGCCAGCAGCCGCGGUAAUUC